UUUACAGCCCCAGAGGUUGCCGCUUGGAUUAACCUUAAACUAAUCUUAACCCUAACCGCACUCGCGAGAGUUCGUCCCUCCACCUGAUCCAAUUUAGUAUUUAUGCUAGUAGCGGCUAAUGUAGCCUGGAGCUGCUAGCAUCCAGCUAGCAGAGAUGAGGAGAUCUGGUAAAGGCACUUCUUUCAAACUCCACAACCCCAGAUUGUUUUCAAACUUGUAGUCUCCAGCCCCAGACCCCACUAUAUUAUAGGAGUGCAAUGCUAAAUAGGUAAAGUACUCUUUGAACUUCAUGUUAACUUUCUAUUUGGUAACCAAUUGAAUCAGUCCUGUGACAGACUGAAUCUGAUAGUUCCAGGGUCUAAAUGAAUGCUGUACCCUGAAGAAAGUGGGUUGAUUAGGUUAUGAUAUUACAUUCAUGAUGAGCAGUUUUGUAGAAAUCUAGAAAACAAAGUAAUCUAUCCCCUUGGACGUCAGUAGAUCCGUGCUGGAAGGUUACACAGUCUUGGUUUAGACAGUCAGUGACUGACUAACAAGGUGGCUUUUAGAAUAAUACUCUGGCGUUUGCAGUGUAAAUUAAGAAACUAAUCCAAGCCUAUCCUUACCAAUCACGGCUUCCCUGCAGAGGAAACUGAGGCCUACAGGAGCUUAGCAACUGCAAACACCCACUGCUGAUUGGCCGAGCAGCAUAUGGAGGGGAGGGGUAAGAGCGCUCUCAAAAGUUCAAAUGUGCAUUAAACUUUCCGACCGCUUCGAGUAGGGAUUUUAGGUGCGGCUCUGACUUCCAUCUUCAGUUUCAGCGUUGGUGAAGCAGCUGUAAUCUGAGCCCCGGCCGGUUAUAGCAGCAGCUCCUUUGUACCGCAGCAGCCUGCACGUAUCAUCUUACACCAGAUAAAACACAGUCCGGGCAGUGCUGCGUUUCCCUGAACGCCAAAAGGAUGAAGUCAUCUGACGUGCAUCUGUGUGCUCGUGUCAAUGUGUGAAUAUGUGUGUUCAGCACUAUGUCAGUGAUUUACCUGUUUCAGCUUUUUCAGACGUGCGCCCCCCCCCGAAAAACACGACAGAGGCUCAGUUGUUCUCCUCAGCUGCCUUGUCAAGUUUUCACAUAUUUUCAUGCUUCCAUUGAUGGCAAAGUAUGUGAGCAUGUGCUGUCCAGCUGCAUUAAUCCCUCUGGAGUCUAAAGUCAUGUUUGUGAAUUUGCUCACCGCUGAGUACAAGAUGCAGGACUCUGACAGCAGAGACCCGGGUUCACAUCUUGAGUCCUGUGUGUGUUCAGUUUUGGUUCAGGAAUGUGACUCCGUUGACUUUAACUGGGACUGGUUCCAGAUCUACAGCCAGCUGAUCUCCCUGCUUCCUGCCCACUGCUGGGCCCGUCUGCUAGAGAAGGAGUACACAACACUGCCAUAUAUAUAUGUAAAUGUAUAGGCUAUAUUGUGUUUAAUGAUAAAAGUAGCAUAGAAGUGAAAAUUAACUGAAGAAGAAGAAACUGCCUGUAGAUAAACGUUUGAAGAUAUUUGGAGAAGUGUAGCUGUCCAUGGUGCUGAAUCUUAGAUGUCUUAUAGGGACUCAAGAACAGUUUAAUUCAUUCUUCUUCAAAAACUGCUACCAUUUAAAGAAAAAUACAGUA